rnacentral:rRNA from 1 species
GCCAAACCCCUGUGACAUACCAAUUGUUGCCUCGGCGGAUCAGCCCGCUCCCGGUAAAACGGGACGGCCCGCCAGAGGACCCCUAAACUCUGUUUCUAUAUGUAACUUCUGAGUAAAACCAUAAAUAAAUCAAAACUUUCAACAACGGAUCUCUUGGUUCUGGCAUCGAUGAAGAACGCAGCAAAAUGCGAUAAGUAAUGUGAAUUGCAGAAUUCAGUGAAUCAUCGAAUCUUUGAACGCACAUUGCGCCCGCCAGUAUUCUGGCGGGCAUGCCUGUUCGAGCGUCAUUUCAACCCUCAAGCCCCCGGGUUUGGUGUUGGGGAUCGGCGAGCCCUUGCGGCAAGCCGGCCCCGAAAUCUAGUGGCGGUCUCGCUGCAGCUUCCAUUGCGUAGUAGUAAAACCCUCGCAACUGGUACGCGGCGCGGCCAAGCCGUUAAACCCCCAACUUCUGAAUGUUGACCUCGGAUCAGGUAGGAAUACCCGCUGAACUUAAGCAUAUCAAAG